GACGAUUCCUACGGGAGGCAGCAGUGGGGAAUAUUGCACAAUGGGGGAAACCCUGAUGCAGCAACGCCGCGUGAGUGAUGAAGGCCUUCGGGUUGUAAAGCUCUGUCUUUGGGGACGAUAAUGACGGUACCCAAGGAGGAAGCCACGGCUAACUACGUGCCAGCAGCCGCGGUAAU
rnacentral:rRNA from 3 species